rnacentral:rRNA from 1 species
GAUGAACGCUGGCGGCGUGCCUAACACAUGCAAGUCGAGCGAUUCUCUUCGGAGAAGAGCGGCGGACGGGUGAGUAACGCGUGGGUAACCUGCCCUGUACACACGGAUAACAUACCGAAAGGUAUGCUAAUACGAGAUAAUAUGCUUUUAUCGCAUGGUAGAAGUAUCAAAGCUCCGGCGGUACAGGAUGGACCCGCGUCUGAUUGGCUAGUUGGAAGUGUAACGGCUUACCAAGGCGACGAUCAGUAGGCGACAUGAGAGGGUGAUCGGCCAAAUUGGAACUGAGACACGGUGCAAACUCCUACGGGAGGCAGCAGUGGGGAAAAUUGCAAGAUGGGCGAAAGCCUGAUGCAGCAACGCCGCGUGAGCGAUGAAGUCCUUCGGGUCGUAAAGCUCUGUCCUCAAGGGAGAUAAUGACGGUACUUGAGGAGGAAGCCCCGGCUAACUACGUGCCAGCCGCCGCCGUAA